rnacentral:rRNA from 1 species
GAUGAACGCUGGCGGCGUGCCUAAUACAUGCAAGUCGAGCGAACGGACGAGAAGCUUGCUUCUCUGCUGUUAGCGGCGGACGGGUGAGUAACACGUGGAUAACCUACCUAUAAGACUGGGAUAACUUCGGGAAACCGGAGCUAAUACCGGAUAAUAUUUUGAACCUCAUGGUUCAAAAGUGAAAGACGGUCUUGCUGUCACUUAUAGAUGGAUCCGCGCUGCAUUAGCUAGUUGGUAAGGUAACGGCUUACCAAGGCAACGAUGCAUAGCCGACCUGAGAGGGUGAUCGGCCACACUGGAACUGAGACACGGUCCAGACUCCUACGGGAGGCAGCAGUAGGGAAUCUUCCGCAAUGGGCGAAAGCCUGACGGAGCAACGCCGCGUGAGUGAUGAAGGUCUUCGGAUCGUAAAACUCUGUUAUUAGGGAAGAACAUAUGUGUAAGUAACUGUGCACAUCUUGACGGUACCUAAUCAGAAAGCCACGGCUAACUACGUG